rnacentral:rRNA from 1 species
GAUGAACGCUGGCGGCGUGCCUAAUACAUGCAAGUCGAGCGAACAGACGAGGAGCUUGCUCCUCUGACGUUAGCGGCGGACGGGUGAGUAACACGUGGAUAACCUACCUAUAAGACUGGGAUAACUUCGGGAAACCGGAGCUAAUACCGGAUAAUAUAUUGAACCGCAUGGUUCAAUAGUGAAAGACGGUUUUGCUGUCACUUAUAGAUGGAUCCGCGCCGCAUUAGCUAGUUGGUAAGGUAACGGCUUACCAAGGCAACGAUGCGUAGCCGACCUGAGAGGGUGAUCGGCCACACUGGAACUGAGACACGGUCCAGACUCCUACGGGAGGCAGCAGUAGGGAAGCUUCCGCAAUGGGCGAAAGCCUGACGGAGCAACGCCGCGUGAGUGAUGAAGGUCUUCGGAUCGUAAAACUCUGUUCUUAGGGAAGAACAAAUGUGUAAGUAACUAUGCACGUCUUGACGGUACCUAAUCAGAAAGCCACGGCUAACUACGUG